rnacentral:lncRNA from 1 species
ACAAAAGGCUCAAAGUUAAAAAACGUCCUUCCCGUCAUGCUUUUUUCUUUUCUUUUUCAUCCACAAAGACAAGGGAAAGAGGAAGGAGAAGUAAAGGUGUAGAAAGUAUAGUACAGUAGAGAAUCAAGUAGUAGAAAAAUGGACCGGCAAUUUCAUCAUUGAUUUGUCUUCAAUCGGAGCAUCAAGCAGCGCAUCGGGUUGUCUUGAUUAAACCCAUGAUUCUCCAAGCGAGUUUGCUAUAUUGAAAAUAAAAAAGAAUAGAGAAGUUAUUGCUGAAAUUAUCACUAGAGUUGGA